UACGGAGGGUGCAAGCGUUAAUCGGAAUUACUGGGCGUAAAGCGUGCGUAGGCGGCUGCUUAAGUCAGAUGUGAAAGCCCCGGGCUUAACCUGGGAACGGCAUUUGAUACUGGGCAGCUCGAGUUGAGUAGAGGAGAGGGGAAUUUCCGGUGUAGCGGUGAAAUCCGUAGAUAUUGGAAGGAAUACCAGAAGCGAAGGCGACCUACUGGGACAUUACUGACGCUGAGGCUCGAAAGCGUGGGGAGCAAACAGG
rnacentral:rRNA from 1 species